rnacentral:rRNA from 1 species
UACGGGGGGGGCAAGCGUUGUUCGGAAUUACUGGGCGUAAAGGGCUCGUAGGCGGCCAACUAAGUCGGAUGUGAAAUCUCCAGGCUUAACCUGGGAAUUGCAUCCGAUACUGGAUGGCUUGAAUCCGGGAGAGGGAUGCGGAAUUCCAGGUGUAGCGGUGAAAUGCGUAGAUAUCUGGAGGAACACCGGUGGCGAAGGCGGCAUCCUGGACCGGCAUUGACGCUGAGGAGCGAAAGCCAGGGGAGCAAACGGG